GACGAACGCUGGCGGCGUGCUUAACACAUGCAAGUCGAACGGAAAGGCCCUGCUUGCAGGGUACUCGAGUGGCGAACGGGUGAGUAACACGUGGGUGAUCUGCCCUGCACUUCGGGAUAAGCCUGGGAAACUGGGUCUAAUACCGGAUAGGAGCCAUUUUUAGUGUGAUGGUUGGAAAGUUUUUUUCGGUGUAGGAUGAGCUCGCGGCCUAUCAGCUUGUUGGUGGGGUAAUGGCCUACCAAGGCGGCGACGGGUAGCCGGCCUGAGAGGGUGGACGGCCACAUUGGGACUGAGAUACGGCCCAGACUCCUACGGGAGGCAGCAGUGGGGAAUAUUGCACAAUGGGCGCAAGCCUGAUGCAGCGACGCCGCGUGGGGGAUGGCGGCCUUCGGGUUGUAAACUCCUUUCGCUAGGGACGAAGCUUUUUGUGACGGUACCUAGAUAAGAAGCACCGGCUAACUACG
rnacentral:rRNA from 1 species